CAAAGCAGCGCGGGAGAGAUCGUCUGAAGCCAGGGCGACGCCGACGGAGCAACCGCCCCGGAAACUCUCAGGCAAAAGGACCGCGCAGCAGGA
rnacentral:ncRNA from 2 species